rfam:Lactobacillus saniviri JCM 17471 = DSM 24301 NODE_5, whole genome shotgun sequence.
ACCUUCACAAAGGGGAGCCAGUGGCUGAGAGUGGGGAAACCCAGACCCUUCGAACCUGUUCGUUAAUACGAGCGUAGGAAUUGUGGAAGUCGAAUUU